AUUGAACGCUGGCGGCAUGCCUUACACAUGCAAGUCGAACGGUAACGCGGGGCAACCUGGCGACGAGCGGCGAACGGGUGAGUAAUGCAUCGGAACGUGCCCAGUAGUGGGGGAUAGCCCGGCGAAAGCCGGAUUAAUACCGCAUACGACCUACGGGUGAAAACGGGGGACCGUAAGGCCCCGCGCUAUUGGUGCGGCCGAUAUCAGAUUAGGUUGUUGGUGGGGUAAAGGCCUACCAAGCCGACCACCUGUAGCUGGUCUGAGAGGACGACCAGCCACACUGGGACUGAGACACGGCCCAGACUCCUACGGGAGGCAGCAGUGGGGAAUUUUGGACAAUGGGGGCAACCCUGAUCCAGCCAUGCCGCGUGCGGGAAGAAGGCCUUCGGGUUGUAAACCGCUUUUGUCAGGGAAGAAACGCUCUGGGCUAAUACCCUGGGGUAAUGACGGUACCUGAAGAAUAAGCACCGGCUAACUACGUGCCAGCAGCCGCCGUAA
rnacentral:rRNA from 1 species